UUUCUUCAGGGCUAUGGUCUGGUUGCUGCUCUGUGGGGGUGCCUGGUGUUUAAAGAGAUUAAGGGCUUGGUGAACUGCCUGAUCUUCUCAUUGGCCUCAUGUGUUGUGCUGACCGGAUCUGUGCUGACUGCCAUAUCAAAUCUCUAAUAAUGCAGAACAGUCAAACAUCUAAUUUUCUCCAUUUUUGUUUUCUGUAUCAGUGAGGAGAAAAGGCAGUGUUUGCUUUUUAUAAAUGCAUUAAAUCAUGUUUAGAAAAAUUGAAAUAUAAUUAUAAACCUUUUUAGUUGCAUAGCAGAAACCUUAUGCUCUGCAGUUUACUGUUAGGAAAAUAUUUAAAGUGGAUUUGCGUCUGGACUUUGAAAAUCUAUUUGGUUUGUUACUAACAAAUGAAUAACACAAAUGUCACAUUUAAUGCAUCACACAGCAGCUGCUGUUUUCACUAAUCAGGACUGGCUUUUCCAGCAUUGCAGAGGUUGUGUAUAUAUGCCACUGAGGUCUACUUUACAGAUGUAAGAAAAAGAUGGUUAAUGCUAGACUGAAUACUGCAAAAUUGCUAUUAAAACACUUGAAAUUCCA